rnacentral:lncRNA from 1 species
CGCCCACAAUCCGGUCCACCCAUCUUCACUGCUAACAAGGUAAAGAUUUCAAAGCUUUUUAAUGGAAAAAUUAGUAUUUGGACUGAAACCUUAUUAGUUUCAGAUUUUGAUCCAAGUCCUUAGCAUUAAUGUAAUAAUAAAUUUACAUGUCAAUUACAUAAUUUUUAAAAUAAAAAUUAAUAAUUGAUUUAGAAUUUUAAUACUCACACCUUUAUUAAACUUCUAAUUAAUUUUCAAUUCAAAACAUUUCCAAAAUAAAAAAAAAAAUUAGAAUAAGUUUGUACCCAUUAGCUUUUUUUAAAAAUGUUUUCAAUUUUUUAAUCUUAUAUGUACCCAUUCAUGUAAUUUUUUCAAAUUUUUAAUCUUAAAAUGUACUCAUUCUUACAUAUACCAAUUUCUUAUAUGUAAAAUGUACCCUUUUUUUUUAUAUAUAAAAUCUAUUCAAUUUUUUUUCUAAUCCAUUUUUAAACUUAUAUGGGUAUAUUCUUUUUUCUUUGAUUUGAGAAUGUAUCCAUGUCAAGUUUAAUCGAAGAAAUUUACUAAUAUCUUUUUUUUUUUUUUGUGAUUUUGAAGAAUGUACCCAUGUUUUGGUACAAUAAUUUUUUGCUUAAUUUUGAUGAAUGUACCCAUGUUUACACACACACACACACGAUAGUAUAGUUAUAUUUUAAUAUUUUUAAUCUCACAAAUUAUGGUUUUUUAUUUAAAAUCUCAUUAAUAUAAACAACUAUAAAUUUCAAAUUUUAAUUAAAAAAAUAUAGUAACAUACAUAGAAAUAAAUUAUCACAUUAAUUUCAGGGACUUUGAUCAAAAAUUGAAAACCAACAAGGUUUCAGUAAAAAAAUAUUCAUAGUUAGGGACUGCAUCCAAAGUCUCCAUUUUUUUUUUAAUUUAUUCGAUUUCGUUUGGGGAAUUGGGGGUUCCAGUUUAUAGAGCAUUAGAUUGGAGAAUUAAGGGAUCGAUUUUAGGGGGAUUAGGGUUUAGGAGUUGUGGGUUGGAUUUUUGGGGAUUAGGGUUUACAAUUUUUCAGAUUUUUAAUGGAGAUUAGUAAACAGUUUUAUAUGGGUGCUUGCAAUGGUGAUUAGCAAAUAGAUUUUCAGAUUUUUAACCGAGCUCAGUCCAUGGCAUAAAUCAAAAUUUGAACUGUGAUUCUUCAUGGGUCUCUGAAAUGGCAGGCAAUGGAGAUUAGUAAGAGCAUUUCCAAAGAAGAUGUCAAAUUUUAAAAUCAAAAUGAUAGUUGAUAGUUUAUGUGGCAAUUUGACAUUUUGUACAAUAUUUUGCUCCAUCCGAUAUGUUAAAUAAUAAUGUCAUUUAAUAAUAUUUUUUAUCUUUUUGUGGAGUCCAAUGAUUAUGGCAACCAAUCAAAUAUUUCAAAAACAUACCAACAUUUAUUAUAUAUUAUAUUAAUCUAUUAAAAUAUCAUUUAAUAAAUUUGACAGCAAAAGGCUCAGCCUUCAAAUGAUUCAGCCCUACCUAAGAAAUUGAAGGCUCGGUUGUAGAGAGUUUGCUGCCAUUUUUUAUUGUUGUAUGCCUACGUGGCAAUUUUGACAUCUCCUUUGAAGAUACUCUAAACAAUUUUAUAUGGGUACAUGCUAGUUUAUUGUGUUGUAAAAUCGACGGUGUGUGCAGUGGAAUAAAUAAACAAGACAUAAAAUUUACAAGGUUCCUCUACAAUCAGUGUGAUUGAAGUACGUCAUUGGAGCAGCAAUGAUGCUUUCCAUUAUAAUUUGGAAUAAUAGGAAUACAAAGAUAACUUUCUCUCUAUUCUCUUUCUCUCUAUGCUCUCAUCUCUCCUUCGUUUCUUUUCUCUCUUCCUCUUGUAUCACCACAUUUUGAACACUUGUAAUGCUCUAGUUAUAGAGCAAACAUUUUGAAAAACAAACAAAACACUAUUAAACUUGUGAAAGGUUUACUAUAUGCAUGUGGGCAUACAUACCCACUAUUUACAACACUCCUCCUUGGAUGUCCACAUAAGUCUUCAAUUAACUUGUUAAAAUCUUGAUCUGUUUUUGGAUGCUCCCCCUAAUUUCAAAUCAUUUAGGUUGAUCGUUGAUCAUUCUGCUUCAGAAGAGUUGCCGAAAGAGGUGCUUUACUUGUUGUUAACUUUCUACAGGCUUGUUCUUGAACUGGGCUGGAGGGCCUUCUGCUAGACUUCUUCCAAAGGUCUGAAUUUAGUUCCUUUAUCUGGAGCUAAAUUAAAUUCAAGGGUGGUGGACACUUGAUCUUGAAUCAAACUUGUGAUUUCUUCAAGGACUUUCGAGGCUUGAUCUUGAAUGAAGUUGUACCGUGAAGAGCUUCACGUGGCAAGUGAUCUUCGACUUUGUCGAUGAUGAAUCAACACAUGUUUGUUGCGCUUGUCUCCACAUACUUCAAUGUAUCAUUUUCACUUGCCUUAUUUGUUCCCCUUGCUUAAGUAGUAUUUCCCCUGGUUUUCCCCCAUGCAUGUGUGGUAUAUUCUUCUGCACUAUUUGCCCUCUGAUGAAGGAGUGGAAUGCAACCCUUGCAUUUGGAUGGUUCAUCACUUCUUGGUGACUGAAGACCCAGCUCCAACAACAAUUGAAGAUGACUACUUGAGAGCAGUGCUAGGUAAGCAAUCAGGAAAGGUUCCAAGCAGUCGGUUCCUUAGCGGGAGUUUGAGUGGAGGUUUCGACAUAUUGCUUUAUUUAUCCUUGUCUUUGCAUGUAAGAACAACGACAAAGGAAAGGACAAGGAAAAAGCAUUGUUUGUACCAUACUUAGGGCAUCCAUAUUUAGAUCUUGUAUAAAUACUCAAGGGACUCAAAUGUAAUUAUGUAAUAAAUGAAGGGGCAAAUAUGUAAUAAGUGAGGAGCCCUUAUUCUAUAAAAGGACCUCUCACUCUCCUCAUUAAGGGAGGCCAAUUCCUAGGCCAUGAGAAGCCUCACUUUCACUCUCAAAGGUUCUCACCCUUUCAUCCUCUCACAGAUAGAGAAAUACAAUAUCAGUGUGGACGUAGCCCAAACAUUGGGGUGAACCAUGAUACAUCUUGUCUUGUGUUAUUUACUUUCUUGCAAAUUCACGGUCGGAUUUACGUUGUUCCAAGACCCCUCCAGUUUUGUACAUCAACAUUUGGCGCCGUCUGUAGGAAUUGGAACAAAAAACUAUGUCGGUUCUCUUUUAUUUUUUCACCUCUACCAUGAAUCUGCAAAAACCCAAUAACCAAAAACUUUCCUGGAAAAAAACCCAGAAACAGAAAAGAUCCAAAUCUCUAUCUCUUCUUCUUCUCUCUCUCUCUUGCUCUCCUUUCUCUCUGAUAGAUAUCGCCUCCAUCAGGUGUCAUCACCUCUCUCUCUCCAAAUUUCAAGCCCCGAUUUAAUUUCCAAAAAUUUUGGUAAUUUCUUUGUAUUUUUCAAAUGAAGAGAUGGCUGUUUCGAUGGUUUCAGCCGUGAGUGGCGUACUACUUCGCCUCCGAGACCAAGCGCUUCACGAAAGCCUGGCUCGCCAGCCGCCUCACGCGCUCCAUGGAAGCUGAAAAUGACUGCGUUUGGAAAAACUCAGAAAGCAGAAAAUUCAGCAGCCGUGAGAGGCGGUCGUUUGCCAGCACUUCACCGUCAUCACUGCCGUCAACUGUACAGGGCUCCUCCCCUUAUCUCACAUGGAUUCAAACCAGCAGAGACCAGGAAUUCCACCAAAUCACCCUCAGCCAGUAAGAGAGCUUUGGAGUUUUCUGCUUCAGUGGAUCCAAUUCAAGCAAGGAGAAUAAUGUUCAAAAGCAAAAUUGAACGAUGUUGUUUCGCAAGUGAGGAAGAGGAAAGAUAACCAAGAGAAUUGAACGGUGCCGUUCCGCAAGCCAUCUUCUUCCACGAGAAAAAAAAAAGCUUCAUCCCAAAACCUGUAACUUUCUUCGGAGCUUUCAAGACCCACACAGACUCCAACCCGUCCAAAUUCCUGAACCAUCACAGUAUAGAAGCAGAUCCAUUCGAUCAUGACCCAACACAACAGCGGAUCUGUUCGAUUAGGACCCAACUCCGGUCAGAUUUCUAAGAAAUCUUCAGCCCCUUAACUCCAUAUGCUCUCCGCCAUUCCAAAGAAGCCCAUCGGGCUAUACUACCCGUCGUUUGAUGAGAACUCAUGUGGUGUCGACUUCGUCGCCAAACUGUCCGGAGAAGUCUGCCGCAAAACGAUUGCCAGAAAAGGUCAUUCGCAAAACAAAUGAUCUGCUCGUUCUACCCCAACUAUAACUGCACAGACCUGUCGUUGGUCUCAGUUCUACUCCAACUUUCAUUAGAGGUCAUCCUUAUUGCUAAGGGAUUUUAGUACUCUGGACAUUGACGAUGAUGAGAAGCCAAAACGUGGAAAGAAGAAAUCAGGUGUUGUUGAAGAAAGGCACAGAACGCAGGGUACCAUCUCUCUUUUGCGUUUACUCCACAGAAACCUUCCUAGUUAGGAAUUAGUACCAGUAAAUUUUGCACCUGGCCCAUUUUUAUGUUGUGUGUUUUGGUCCCCUCUGUAAUUUAGGGUGUGGUGUGCAAAUGGCCCAUUUUUCUGUUUUGUUAUUCGGCAUGAACUAGCACAACCGGGAGGCCGUCUCCCACUCCUCCAAAUCCCAAUUCCAGAAAUUCCUCCACCGACCCAGAAGCUUCCGAGGCAUCACACCGCCAUGUCCAAGAUCAACCCUGAGGUCUUCAAGUCCGUCCCCCAGAGACGACACCCGUAGAGAUGUGGAGCUACCUCUGGAUUCUUUUCCUAAUUUCCCUGUCCAAGCAGCUGUCACUUUAGAGAAAAGGAAUACAGAAAGCAAAGCAAAAGCAAAGAUAAGAUUCUUUUCUUAUUAUUAAAUCUAUUAUCAUUCCUUGUCUGCCAUAUUCAUUAGGGUCAAGAAACAGAAAGAAAAUCAGAAAGAAAAGCAAGAAAAGCAAGUGGGUGGUGUCAAGGUUGUCCAGGCAGCUGUUACGUUUUACAGGAUAACAUGCAGGAAAUGGAAAAGAGAAAGUAAAAGCAAAAGCAAAAGCAGAAAGCAAAAGAAGAUAAAAAGAAGUUGACAUAAUUGCGGUGGUGAUGGCAUGCAGAGAAGGGAAUUAUAGGCAUGACCCAUUGAGCAGAGGGUCGGAUUUAUUUUUGAAUGAUGUAAUUUAUUUUUCUUAUCUUUCGGAGACAUCUGUAUAAACCCCAUCAGAGGGUAAAAAAAAAAAGGCAAGCCCAACAUAAUGGGCUGGAAUAUUAUGUGGAUGACGAAGGCCCAUAUACCCAAAAAAGCCAGGCCCUAUAUUAUCACCAACCAGGUGAUCAAAAGUAAGUCUAGUACUACAAAAAAUUAUUCGGCAGCCGGCCGUUAUUAUCACCAACCAGGUGACCAAAAGUACGCCCAGUACUUCCAAAUUAUUCGGCACCUUGCCGCUAUUAUUACAAACCAGGUGAUCAAAAGUACGCCCAGUACUUCCAAAUUUAUUCGACACCCUGCUGCCAUUAUCACCAACCAGGUGAUCAAAAGUACGCCCAGUACUCCAAAAUUAUUCGGCACCUUGCCACUAUUUUCACCAACCAGGUGAUCAAAAGUACGCCCAGUACUCUUAAAAUUAUUCGGCAGCCUACCGCUAUUAUCACCAACCAGGUGAUCAAAAGUACGUCCAGUACUCCAAAAUUAUACAUGAGCAUCACUCAUGUCAAUCAUACAUAAACAUUCAUGAGCAUCACUCAUGUAAAUCAUACAUAAACAUUCAUGACCAUCAUUCAUGUCAACAUUCAUGAGCAUCACUCAUGUCAACAUCCAUGAGCAUCACUCAUGUCAAUCAACAUAAACAUUCAUGAGCAUCACUCAUGUCAAUCAGCUUCGAAAGCUUCAUUUACAGAGCUCCAGCUUCGAGAGCUCCAGCUUCAAAAGCUUCAUUUACAAAGCUCCAGCUUCAAAAGCUUCACUUGCAAAGCUUCACCUACAAAGCUUCAAUGCAGGGUACACAAAUACCGCCUCCGAACAACCGCCACUUCGGCCCAUACAUGGAUUCAAUUUGAAAUCUCCAGCCAACAGACUCUAUUGACCGAAAACUUGGGGGACUACAUUAUGUACCAUAUAUUGGGCCUCAACUAGGCCUCAUGAAAAAUACUUGGGGGACUCUAGCCCAUUAUUCAUGUAUUGAGGAGCGAGCCCUUAUUCUAUAAAAGGGACUCCCCCACCAUCAUUAGAGAGCAUCAACUCUAGCCCAUUAUGCAUGUAGUGAGAAGCGAGCCCUUAUUCUAUAAAAAGGACUCCCUCAACAUCAUUAGAGAGCAUCGCCGCCUACUGAGCAACCGUCUCGCCGCGAGCAUCAACUCUAGCCCAUCAUUUAUGUAUUGAGGAGCGAGCCCUUAUUCUAUAAAAGGGACUCCCUCACCUUCAACGCCACAAGCUGAGCCAACCAAAGCAACAUAAGACACAAACAGAGCAACCUCGCAACAUGUGCUACUUCUAGUUGAGCAUCAUUUCACUUUGAGCACCGCCUCAUAUCAAGUAUCAGUUCAAGACAACGUCUAGUUACUUCAGCCCACACAUGGACUGCAUUUCAAGUCUCCAGCCAAAAGACUUUCUUGACUGAAGACUUGGGGGACUACUGUUUGUACCAUACUUAGGGCCUCCGUAUUUAGAUCUCAUAUAAAUACUCAUGGGACUCAAAUGUAAUUAUGUAAUAAAUAAAGGGGCAAAUAUGUCAUAAGUGAGGAUCCCUUAUUCUAUAAAAUGACCCCUUAUUUUCCUCAUUAAGGGAGGCCAAUUCCUAGGCCAUGAGAAGCCUCACUCUCACCCUCAGAGGUUCUCACCUUCUCAUCCUCUCACAGAUAGGGAAAUACAAUAUCAAUGUGGACGUAGCCCAAACAUUGGGGUGAACCACGAUACAUCUAGUGUUAUUUACUUUCUUGCAGAUUCAUGGUCGGAUUUACGUUGUUCCAAGACCCCUCCGAUUUUGUGCAUCAACAAGCAUGAUAUGAGAUAUUUUUUGCUCUCAUCCCUGAUGAUAUGAGAUAUUCUUGCUCUAGUGUGACAUAUUUGAAGAGGUAUUCUCGGAAAGAAAGAAAACUGAGUAUUUCGAGAUGCUUUGUUGAAGAUGCAUUCUCCGAGAUGAGGAAGAGUUAGGUAUUGUUGCAGAUUUGCCUUUUAUGGAGAACGAAGAUCGACAUAUAUAGAGAUUUUUCAAUAGCAGGUAGUGGUACUGUGCCUUUACUCUUAUAAGCAAUUGUGGUGUAAUUAGAAUAGUAAGAUUUACGCGUUUUCAACUUUGUUAGAGAUUUUGACAAAGUUGCACGCGAUAUCCUAAAAAGUUAAGAUUGCGUCUAACGAACUUUAUUCAGGAAGAUUUACACGUUUUCAACUUUGUUAGAGAUUUUUGACAAAGUUGCACGUGAUAUCCUAAAAAGUUGAGAUUGUGUCUAACGAACUUUAUUUAGGAAAAUCUGGCUUUCGAAAUUCAGAGAGCGGUGCCUCUUCAAUCUUUGAACAAGUGGCUUUGUUGCCUCUUCUUUUAUAGAGACAUCCAUUGUGUUCAAGAGUAUGCUCAGAAAGUUGCUGCCUAUAGAAAUUUUUCCCUUCUUUCACUUCUGAAAUUUUAUUUGACCUCCUUUUUCCUUCAUCAUUUCUGAAAAUGACUUGCCCAUCUAACAUUUGCUUAGAUUUGAGUCUUAAGAGUGAUAUAGAUGAGCAGCGUCAGGAUAAUAUAUGGUGCUCAUCCUUCUUAUCUUCUAAUGGUCAUCUUACGAUUGGGGACUCUGUGAUGAAGAAUGACAUAACCACUACUGUGGUAGCUAGGAAUCUUCUCAAUCUAAAGGAUAACAGAAUCCUUUCAAAACGGUCUAAUAAGUCGGUCGUUCAAGACUCCUUAGCUCUCAGUGUUCAAUGUGCUGGCUCUGUUUCCAAUAUGGGCCAACGCUUACUUGCUCAAACUCGCCAAGUUGAAUCAUUGAUAGCUGAGGUGGCAAGUCUUAAACAUGAGAUCAGAGGGCUCAAGCACGAGAAUAGAGAGUUACACGUGCUUGCAAAUAAUUACUCAACAAACAUGAAAAGAAAGCUUAACCAGUUGCUGGAAUCCGAAAGUGGGAUUCAAAGUGAUUACUAGAGGUUCGUUGCUAGAUUCCGAAGGCAACUGAUGCCUUCCCCUUCUGGUGUUUUGCCAAGUACUGGGGUGCCACAUGAUCAAUCUCCAGUGCCUCUUCCUUCUAGGGUACUACCAAGCACUGAGGCUUCACAUUAGCAACCUUUGUGAAAGCUCCAUCCUGUUUGUUUGUUUUAAUUCAUGUGUAUGCACAUAUCUGUAAUUUCUCAAAGAUAUUAAUAGAUAAGCUUUAUUCAUUCAAUGUAUUGUGCCAAAUAUAAUAAAGCAUAUACUUUACUAAGAUGUGGUACUUCUGGACCAAAUAUCAAUUUAUCUUGACCCUCAUGAAGAUAAAUGAUCAUUCUUAGUGUCGACAUUAUUUGAGUAUUUAACUUAUAAUCUUCAAUCCAUAUGAUUCUUUAAUAUCAUAAACAUUAUGGAUAAGAUUUGUGUUGACAUAUUGUUCGAUUUCCAGUUCGAGACAAUAUUUCUCUCAACACUUUAUAAUCUUUCUUGAUUCUUCAGGAGUCUCAAUUUAAUAUCAUCAACUCUUCAGGAGUUCUAAUUUAAUGUUAUUGAUUCUUGCAAGAGAUUUUAGUAUGUUGCAACAAUAUGAUAGUACUCACUAAGGCAAUUUAUACCAUCCAUUGGUAUUGAGUACAUAAUUUUUGCUUUACCCUUUCGGGGCUUAUUUCAAGCAAUUUGAAUCCUUCAGGGAUUUUCGACACUUCAUAACACUUUUCCUUUGGAAUUUAUACAGAGGAACUUGCUCCCAUGUAUAAUUGAGGGAUUUACUUAUGGAGAUAUGAUGUGGGUGACUUACAACCAUUCGUAUAUAAUUCUCCAUUCAUAUGAACUCAUUUACAAGAGUAUAAUUAGUAACCUUGUUGUUGGAAAUGUGCCCUAAAACCAAUCAUAUGAUGAUACGUUACGGACAUUUCACAUGUUAAACUAAUCUAGUUUAAUAUCAAGGGCAAAAAUUAUUGUUUUAAGCUGUCUCAUAUAAAUGUUAUAUGCUUAAAUGAUAAGUCCAAGGAAUAUGUAAUUUAAACAAGUUAGAUUCAUGAGACCAUUCUCUUUCGUGUACAUAUCCUUAACAUUCCUGAUCAUAGGAUUGCCAAUUGGGCAUUGACAGUCCGUUAAGAUCAGUACAUGCUGUGUCUUCUCUCAAGGAGAGCGACUGGUCUCGAGUCAUUGGAGUGAUUGACACCAAGACAAGCAUGUAGGUGCUCAAUAGAGAAUGAGUCCACUGAACACGAUCAACGAUGAGUUCUCAUACUCAUGUCACAUGAGAACUCAUGGUUGGGAUAAUGCAAAGUAGUCAUUUGACCUGAGGCAUCAUAGUUGUCUUGUGGUUAGGUCCUUGAUCUUUAACUAUGUCAAAGUCACUCCAUCAGAGGGUGUCCACGGCAUAGUUAGGGUUAAGCCACUUAGCCAUGAAGGCAAGUGAAUGUGCAACAAGAGAUCUCUAACCUUCAAACCGUUUGAGGGAGAAUACUCUAUGAUAUGAUUAAGAAUCUCUGGCCAGAGUAUGAAUGAGAUUUAGGAAAUCGUUCCAAAUCACAUUCAAGGUAAUCAUAUAAGUAAGAGAAUCACAUUGGAUAGUAGACAUGAAUAAACUAUCAAACCAAACAAUGUGGUCAAGAGUAUUGUAUUAGAGAAAGACCGUAUUGCAUUGUAAUCCUACACUGAAUAGGUUCUCCACCUCUUCUGAUUAGCUUGGGUAACCAUGACAUACUGCUAGGUGUCACUCAUGGUUUGUGGAAGCCCUAAACGUGUAUAAUCACUAAAGGGAGAAUUGAAAGUAAGUUUCAAUUCACAAUCGAUUUGAAAGAGUUCUAAUCAUCCACUGCCUCGCUAAAAGGAACCUAAUGGAUCGUACACCGUGUAAGGUAGAGAUUGAAGAAACAACGGAGAUGAGUAAGGAUAAUUAAAUGGUUUAAUUAUUUAUGGCAAUGAUUAAUUAAUAUGUUAAUUAAUCAAACAAAUAAAGUUCGUUAAAGACCUCGGGUUAGUUUUGGGCCUCAAGGCCCAAUGGGCUUCAAACGUCAAGCCCAUUGACUUAAGUUGUAUGACAACUUAAUGACUAAAUAUUCACAAAGGCCCAAACAGCCCAAUAACACCCUAUGGCAGGCCAUAUAGAUAAAGGAGUGGGUUUUGGACUUAUUACAAGUUUGCCACUCCAAUGAAGGUAGGUAUAAAUAUGACUUUAUAGCCUUUUCUUCAUUAGGGUUUCUUUUAGAGAAAAGAUGAGAACACAAUGUCUCUCCCUUUAUCUCUAAGAGGCCGGCCCCCUUGGAGGAGAUUAGCUAGCAAUCUCUCAUCCUCCAAGGUCACUUAUCUCUUCUUCAAGUCCAUCCUUGGUGUGGAAAAAUUAGAGGUUCUCAACUUUGGGAAUUUGGAGAAUCCUUUCAACCAUCCUCAUCCAAGAAAUCCAUGGAUCUAAGAAGUAAGGAAUGAAGGCCCUCUCCUUGGGUGAUUAGCCUUUGCUUAUGCAAAGAGGAAUCAACAAAGGUAUAAAAUCUCUCAACUCACUUUGUUCUUGAGUUGAGUCUUGGUUCACCUUUCUACUAGGCUUUGAAUUUCAUAGGUAUUGUUUUGUUUUGAGUGCAUACUAGCAUGAUUCUGCCUUUAAAUGUUAAUUGCAUGCAAUAGAUGUUGCUCAAAUGAACAUGUUUUUCACAAAAUUUCCUUCACUUGUGUCAUAUCAUGUAAGUGUAUUUCGCUAUAUUACAAAUGCCCAAUGUAACGUCCUUGGUUCAACAUCUUUUAGCUAUUUGUAUUAUAUGUAAGUAUAUAGGUCCAUUUUUCCACGUUCUUAAAAAUUGUAAUGGAGUUGCCUUUCUCCAUUUUGGCCAAUAAUUUUGUUGACGAAAAGAACGUGACUCAAUAUUAACACAGCUCAUUGAUGAAUUUAGUAGCUACUUAUAAAAACCAAAAUUAUCAUUGGUUAUCAUCAAUCUGUGAUCCCAUAUUCUCAUGUGCAUGCGCAUGCAUAAAAGUUUUUCAUUUCUUUUGGAUAUCCAUUGCCUCUUCAAUGGCAUUACAUUAUCUCUUCUAGAAUAGUCAUAAUUUAGAGAAUGCGGAUCAUAACCUCCUCUUGAGCAUUAUAGAGCUUGGAUUUUAAUCUCCACUUUUGGGAGUUGAGUCAUUGGAACCUAUAUGUCUAUCAUGCCCCAUGCAUGAGACAUCAAUAUUCCCAUGUCCGCAGAUUGUCCUUUCUGGGACGUAUAUCUAUGCGGCGACUAUCAUGCUUCUGGCAUGCAAUAGUUAUGCUUCAGGAAUGCAAUAAUUCAAUAAUGUCAUAUUCUUCUUCUUUCGAAAUACUGAAUCUUUUGCGUCUGAGGGUUUGCCACGCUUCAGGCGUGCAACAGAUAACUCAUUUACUGCCUCAUUAUUUUGUCCAACAGGGACAUCAAUUCUUGUAGGCACAUUUGCAGCAAGUAUAUGUGAUGUUAUCACUUUCGUUGCAUCAUUAAAUGCAUUUGGCAUUUGACUUGCAUAUCGUUGCAUCAUUUAAUCAUUCUCACUUCGUUUUUAUAUUGAUUGCUUCAUAAAUCAAAAUAAAAUAAAUUCUCUUCGUUCUUCUGGAACGGUAUUUUCUCAUCAUUCUUCUGGAAUGAUAUUUUCUCAUCGUUCUUUUGGAACAAUGUUAUUUUCUCUCUCUAACGGCGGGAAAUUUGUCUUAUCAAACUAACAAUCCGCAAACCACGCGGUAAACAUAUCCCCAGUCAAGGGUUUCAAAUAUUGAAUGAUAGAUAGUGUUCAACAUCAAAUGCCCAAUUGGUGAUAAUGCCUCAUUUCAGUACGUUGUGGCAGUGCAAUAGGCACAUAGAUAACACAACCAAAAACUCGUAAAUGUUAAUGUUUCGCUGGUGCCCAAACACGAGAUUUAUUGAGAAGUAUUAAUGGUUGGUAACAUGUUUCAACAGAAUUAAUAAUGCAUCAUGCAAAAUAGCAUGUACCCAUGUAAAAACUGGCAAUUUUGUUUUCAUGAGCAGAGCACGGGUAAUCAAUCUCAUCCACUUAAUAAAUACUUCUGCUAAACCAUUUUGAGUAUGGACAUAUGGAACUGUUUGUUGGCUAGUAUUUUAGGGUUUUUCAUGAAUUGAGACUUGAUUUUGUUUUUUUAACAAAACUACAGUGUAUACGACUUAACCAAUUACGUAAUACAAGAAGUUUUCUAUCUUUCAAUUCAUACUUUGCGUUGUAAUUUUUUAUUUUCCUUGAAUAAAAGGCCAAAACCUAACUGAGUUCUCCUCACUUCAAUCAAAUUCACAGCCAAUGGGUUUUAUUUGCAUUCAACUUGACAAAGUGUAGCAAUGCAUAGAGCGUGGAAUUGUUUGAAUGGAGAAUAGACUUUAAAAUAGUGUAAGCUAGCUCUUCUAUGAUCAGUUAACUAGAUCCCUUAAAUUUUCUGGUGCAUAUAAAUCAGUAUGAAGAAAGACGGGUUCAAUAUGGUGCUACAAAUCCUUUUGAGAUAUAUUCUUCCACAACCCACCACCCUCUUUUUAUUUGCUUUUCAGUUUUCAUAUAAAACACACACACAUAUAUGGUCCAAUACUGCUUCUGCUUCUGCUUAUGCUUAUUCUGGGCUCAUAUACAUAUCAAUGGGGAUCGAUCUUCAAGUAAUUGUAGAAAUGCAUGACUAUCUUUAGUUUGGAGGGUUACUUAAGCUUAUGGUGCAGGAGUGCAACUCUUAAGCAACUACUUUAUAUCUUAAGGAUUGAAGUAAUGACAACUUUUCAUCAUAUAUAAUUAAUAUUGCCGUUUUGCAGAUAAAUAUAUACGAUAUUGGGUAGGAGAAUUUGAUACAUAAUAUUGAAGGAAACAUGAGUAAACCCUUUUCACUACGUGAAGUACAAUGCUCUUAUUUUUUUCAGAUUAAUUUAACAUUAGAAUAGCGUUCCAUUCAUCGAGGAUUUGUAUGCACAAAAUAUGGAGAUUAGGAUUGUGAUGGAAGGAUGAGCAACGCAGAUAUGGUUUGUUAAUUGACAUAAAAAAAUCGAUCUACAAUUAUGUUGUGAAUACGGGAUCAGAUAUCAACACCAGAUUUUUGUAUCUUCAAUGUCUUCUUUACCAUCUUUCAAAAUGGCCAAGUUUUUCUAGUUUAACCAUUUUGAGAUUAGGUAUACGGUAGGAAGUACAUAUCUUAUGCUUUUGAAUGAUGUUUAUCUUUCUUCCAUCAUAAAUAUAUUUUAAUGUUACCUUAAAUAAUGAUCUAAUCAGCCUUUGUUUGCCGUUUCAGUUACAAAAUAUGUGUGUGUGUAUUAUGGAUCUUUAUGUGGGGCACGACAUAUAUACGCAUUGAAUUUUUUUCUUUCUUCUAAUUGUAUUAUGGAUCUUUAUGUGACGACUGCACUGUGUUCGAUGUUGGUAUAUGGUCCAGCCCAUGAUGAAUGUUCUAGAUUAUUCUAAUAAGCAAGUGAGAUGGUUGGAGCAUGCUAGACAAUUCUAGCAUGUUAUUAAGUUGAUGGAAGAAGCUAGAGAGUACUAGCUUCCUUGGUUGCAAAUGGAAAGAUCUAGAAGCUAUAAUUUUGUGGCUAGUCUACAUCUUUCUAUGCUAGAGGUUUGAAGAAUACACUAGAAACUAGUAGAAUGCCAAACCCUCACCUAUAAAUAUGGGUGUGAUGUUGUAGUGAAGUAACCAAUCAAGAACCAAGUGUGAGUAGAAAAAGAUCAAGUCCAAAGCUAGAGUUCCACUCCAAGAGUGAGAGUGAGAGUGUUCCACUACACAUUGUGUGAGUGAAGUUUAGAGUGAUAGAAAGUGUGUGUUAUACUUUCUUGUAUCCAUCAAGCCUUAUCUUUGGCUUGGUAAGACUACUCUUGUUGUACUCAUCUUUUUCAUAUAGUGAAGAUUGAUCCUUGUUUGGUGGACGUAGGCAUAAAUUGCCGAACCACAUAAAUUCUUGGUGUCCAUUUUCUACUUUACCUUGUGCAUUCUCUAUCUUGUAGUACCAACAUUCCUAACAUUCGAUUCUUCCAUUGUUGUGAUUGUGUUGGAUAUCAUAUAUUAUUCAUUACAAUGUCCAGGGUUUGGGAAUUAUUAUAACUUUAGGGGAGGUUCUGCCGAAAUUUCAGUAUAAUUUGUAGUGUUUGUUUGACUGUUUUUUUUUCAGCAAAGAAAAAUACCCGGGGACCUUGUCGUUAGUUGAAGAAGGCGAAGGUCACCCGAGUGACCAACGGACGUAUCAUGAUCGAAUACGACAACUAGCAUUGGGCUGCACCAACACCGGAGCAACAUAGUGCAUUGGCCCACGACAUUGGUCACGUCAUUUGAACCUAUUGCCCUAUGCAAUGGAAGUCUUGGAAGGCAAUGCCAGAUGAGGUAAGGACGAAGGUGCUCGCUUAUUUGUCGGUAAGUAUCCUGCCUUUUUAUUGCUUUUCCUUUAAAUUUUAUAUAUUUAUAUUACUUAAUGUAUGUAAUUAAUUUGUUACAUAGCAUACGAACUACAAUUUCGACGACAUCAACGAUGAUAUGUUGGCAUAUGUCAACGGGCUUUUAGCUAAACGGUACAAACAGUGGAAGAGCGACAUGCACCAAUAUUUUGAGACAUUUAUGAUCCGCAAGUUGCUCUUGAGGAGGGUUACCCGAAGGAGUUUGAGGACAGGGAAGAUAAUUGGGUGUGGCUCUGCAAUCAUUUUCAGGAGGCCAGCUAUGUGGUACGUUUUUUAUAAGUCUAAAAGUAUUAUACGUUUCUUACUAAUGUUUAUUGAUUUUUUAUAUUUCAUUUAAAUUAGAACUAAUACGUUUAUUUUUUGUAUAACAGAAGAAUGCGAAAGCCAACAAGAUCAAUCGAAAGAAGAAGACUAUUCUCCACCAUUCGGGUUUAAGGCCCUUCUCAUAUAGGAUGGAGGAGCAGUGGCAGGUAAUAAUAAAGCUUUUCAUAUUCAAUUUUUAAUGUGUCAGUAAUAUUAAUUUUUUUUUUCGUACUAACAUUUUUCUUAUUCAAGGGGGUUCAAAAUUCCAAAAGAUCGAUGUCUUUAGAGAUGUUUAUGUUCGACCCGGGGAUAAGUUGGCCAAGUCCCUUCAUGUAAGUAUUCUUCAAUUGUAAUUACUAUCUUACGAAUUCAAGUAUCAUGGUUAUUAUUUGAAUGUUAUUAUUAAUAUUUCAUGUUAUAUUAUACAGGUGACGAUGAUGGAGAAGAGGCAGUUGGUUCUUCAAGAGUCCACCUCCCAACUUCCUCCCGAGACUCCACUCGAGUCUGUGGAUCCCCCCGAGGAUGCAUGGUUUCAGAUCCUUACAGACACCUUGGAUCAGACUCUCGAGCGGAGGCUGGCGACAUAUUGUAGCACUAGUACAAAAACAAUUUGCGCGACGAAGCAUAGUUCGUCGCACAAAGUCAAAAACAUUGCCUGAAAAUUAGCCCAACGACAUCUUCGUGCGCGCAAACCGUCGUGAAAAGGUCGUGAAAGCAGGGUUUGCGUGAUGAAGAAGUAACCCGAGUCGCACAAAGACCUAUUGCGCGAUCACUGUACUUGCAUCGCGCAAUAGGUCUUUACGCGACACAUCAUGCUCUCGUUGUCGCGCAAAUAUUGGCGCACAACGCAGGUAUUAUCGUUGUAAAAAGACCUUUUGCGUGACGCAGGUUAUGCCUUUCUUGUGCAAACCUUUUUUUUCUUUUUCUUUUUUUUGACAAAAUAAUUUUUAUUUAAUUUUUUUUUAUAAAUAUUGUAAUUAAAUUAUAAACAAUAAUUAAUAAACUAAGAAAAAGUAUUUAAUAAUAAAAUAUAUGAAAAUGUACAUAUAAGAUGUCCGAACAUAAAAGAAAAUACUACAACAAGUAGUCGUCUAAGUUUGAUGCAUUAGGCUACUAGGUAUCGGCUGGGCGAAAUGGUUAGGAGGUUGAAGGUGGAGCAAGAUCAGGUGUUGACAUCGGGAUUUAAAGGUCGGACAUCUGUAAGGCCCGUAAGAUCAUACUCAUCUUCUCAUCAUGGGUCGAUAACUGGGCUGCAAUCUAGGCUUCCCAAGCUUUCCGGGCUGCUUCUUGAGCUGCAAUCUAGGCUUCCUAGGCUUCCUGUGCUACUUCUUGGGCAGCAAUAUUACCUUUUAGGGUUUCCACUUCCUCCGCCAGGGCAAUGACCUGUCCUAUGGUCAAUUUGGAAGAUGAGGCACCCGUCUCAUGAACCUGCGCCUUCCCUAUACCCCUACCCCGAACAACCUUGCCAUGACUACGACCGAGCUUCUGAUCCAGGAACUCAGUCAGGAUCUGAAGACCUACAUCCUCAGGAAUAGUGAUGUCCUCGAUUGGGGUCUCCAAGGGAAGCUGCGAUGCUGCUUCUUGAAGAACAGCAGUGCGCUUUUCCACCAUAGCAGCCAGUACUAAUAAAGAAAAAACAUUUAAUAUUUAAUAAAAAAUUAUAAUUAAUAUUUGAACGAUUGAUAAAUAUAAGAAUAAUAACAAUUACAUAUACUUACAUGAAGUUGCUCAGUGGUCUCAUCGCCGAGUCGAACAUAAACAUUCUUGAACAUGUCGAGCUCUAGGAACUUAGAACGCUCGUGAAAAAAUAAAACAUUAAGAAAAUUUUAAAUUGUCUAAAGUUUCAAAAUUAAUAUACUUUUACCUGACGUUGCGCCUUAACCCAAAACGAAAGGGCAUCAAACCAGAAUGGUGGAGAAGUGUCUUUGACUCCUAAGCUUUCUUGCCAGCAAUAGAUUUCUUUUGUUAAACACACAAUAAACAUGUUACUGCGACUAUUUGAAGGAAAUUAUUAAAAAAAAGCAUAAAAAAUAACUAAAACAGUAAUAAAUUAUUAUAAAUAUUAUGUACAUACCACAAAUUUUAGGUCCGUAAAAUGUUUGCAGAGCCACUCCUAAUCGUCCGGCCAGUCCAACAACUCAAUUGGGCAACCCUCUAGGGAAGCAAUCUCCGCAUCAUCCCAUUUCUUAAAAUGUGCGUGGAGUUCGCACUUCCAAUGUUUGUACCGGGUUGCUAAGGUCUCCUCUAAGUAGGCAGUGGCCUAGGGGGAUAUGUCCUCAAAAUCAUAAUUGACCUACAAAUAUGAAAAUAGUAAAAUAAUAGUAAGAAAUUUAAUAAUAUUAAGAUAAUAUACUAACCGACAACUCAUGUUGCACCAGUUUCUUCGUCUUCUCAGGAAUUUCUGCCCAAGACUCCUACUGCAUGGGACAAUGCCAUCGAAAACAAAACCAGUGCUGGUAAUGAUGCUGCUGUGACGUAGCCGCUCCACGAUGUCGCGAGUCAUAUGCAAUCUUGAUCAGGGUGGCGGACAGACGUACGUUAUGUGCUUGCUUCAACAUUCAAUUAGACCCCCUGGUGUUUUUUUUAGCUGCCCAAAAAAACUUAAUUAUGAAAACUGUCACAGCCUGUCCCGAAUAAUUGAUUUCCGACAAUGCAAAAUGACGGUUCUAACCUUUGAAUGUUAAAGUUGUAGUGUGUGUGUGUGACUUGUUUUGGAGACUUGAUAUUUUUCCUUGGUUGGUUAGUGACCACGUGGAACUCACACAUACAAUACUCACUCUCUCUCCUCUCCCGUAUCCUCUCAUCUCUCUCAAACAAUCUCUCUCUUUCCCUUACGUACGGACAAGACACAAAGCUUACCCUCGAGCACGAAUCGAAGCUUUAAAGGUAAGGUCCUUGUUCAUUGUAACCUCUUGAGUCUAUUGAUACCCUUCUUUGGGUGGGAAUGCGUCAGAAACCUAAGAAACACUAACCCUAAUUUUGUGCACUAUUCAUGCACACGUAAAACCUUGCAUUUCAGGGAAUUCUAAGCAAAUAGAAGGCUUAAGGAGGUCCUCAUGAGCCUUGGGGUAGUUCGUUAGAAGAGUUUGGAUGUCGGAGGGCCAAGAUCGAAGCUUUUCAAAGUUGACCAGAUAAUCGAGCUUCCUCAAGUAGAUUCUAGUGGAAUUCAAGGCUUAAAAGUAGUAUAAUGUGAUUCUACAUGUUAUUAGCUUCAUUUUGGUACCAAUUGCAUGAAAAAUGGUGAAGAAACGAAAGAGAAUAGUGAGUUUGAAGUUUGCCCAAUUUUCGACGCCGGCAACGGUCGCCGGAGCUGGAGGUAGGAGGUGAAGGAAUAUUCCGUCAAGUAUGACGGAAUAUUCUCACGUCGUUAGUUAUGAUUGACGCUUACCAUUAGGAUUUAACGGAAUAUUCCUGACGUUGUUGAAGGAUCCGUCAAGAUCCCCUGCGCGUGGCCGCGCGUAUUGUCGUGCCUUGGCCGGCGUGUGCGGGGUUAGAAAAUUAUUUUGAAAACUUGGGUAGGUCCGUGGAGUUGUGUAGAUCACUGUGGUAUAUUCAUAUACCCAAAUUAAGCAAUGUAUGAGAAGUUAUUACCUAGUUUUGUAUAUGUGCUUUAAAAUAACGUUUUUAUAGUUAAUUCGCAUAUAGGUGAGGCUUAUCCCGAGGACGAGCGUAUCCACGGGCGAUUCGGGGGCUACAACCCUUCGACAUACCAGUGAGUGAGCUUUUGUUUUCAGUAUAUACUUAUAUACUUGAUAUAUUUCCCAGAAAUGCAUUUUUAGGAAAGUAUGCUUUGAAUUAAUAUGCCAAAUACUUUUAUUUCUGAAUAUGCAUUUUAUGGUUGCAUAUAUAUAAAUGUCGUGCUGUGGAGGCAUAGGUAAGUUCAGGUAAGUUAUAUUUGUUUAUGUGAAUCAUCGAGGAUGUGAUAUGUGAUUGAAUGAUGUUGAGCUCAUAAAACUUCACCUAGGGUGAUUGUGAUUUAGCCAGAGAUAUGAAGUACAGGCCUGUUUAUUAUGUCACCUCCCGCACCAUAUGCUCACAUUGGAUCCAAUUUAGGUGCACAGUCUUGUCAUACAUACCUUAUUUAUGGUUCCGACUCGUAGGUGACUAACGAUUUAUCGCUCGGCUAUUAUGUGAGAGUAGUAUUGAGCAUAAUUAUAUUUCACCCAAUCUUUUCGUACAGACCCUUCGUAGUGGUUCCGACUUAUGUGCAAUAUAUUGCCGUAUAGGUCAUUGUAGUGACUCCAGCUAGAUUGACUUUUGAGCCAUGAAUUCAGCCGUACAGACCACCUUAGGGGUUUCGGCUAACAUAUCAUAUUUCUACGAAAUCAUUCUUACCUGGAUUGUUUCCUUGGUUAUAUUUUGGCAUGGCAUACAUAUGAAUAUGAUUAUGUGAAGCAUGAAUUGAAUUGAUAUGAAUUAAUAUAUAUGUGUGUGUGUGUGUGUGUGUGUGUGUGUGUGUGUGUGUGUGUGUGUGUGUGUGUGUGUGUGUGUGUGUGUGCGUGUAUUAUGCAUAUGCUUAUAUUCUAAUUCUGGGAAAAAUUAUACUUGUUUUACAGCGAGGGGUUAGUUAUGUUGAUAAAGAAAAUGAUUUUGUAAAACAUUUGUUUUCGUCCACUCACGUUUUCUGUUUUGCACCCCUCCAGGUUCUAAGUAAGCUUACUGUUGGUGGCUCGGGAUUGUCGGCUGUUUUGACCUAUUUGAUUAAUAGUAGGACAUUCUUGGUACUGUGUAACUAGUACUUGUCCUAAUGGACUGCACCUAGACUUAUUAUGCUCUGAUUAUGAGUGUUUACUGUUGUAACUAACUCCUAUCACCUUCUGUUUAGUAGUGCACUCUAGUAAUUUGGUUCUUAAUUAUUCAUAUAAUUCUUAUCUUUAUUGCUUCCGCACUGUGCACAUGGCUACAUCACUCUCACGUGAUGGCCAGCAUGCCUUGAUCUCAAUCAGGGUGUGUCAAAAACCCUAAGCUAAAAUUUCUACAAAAAAUUUGGCAAAAAACUCCCCUAAGGGGGCGUUUGUUGUACUGGACUAUCUCGGACUGGACUAAGCUCAUGGACUAAGUUAGACUGGCUUAGACUAGACUAAGCUGGAUUAAUUUAGUGAAGCGUUUGUUCCAGUGUCGGACUAACAAGUAAAAUAAUAUUUUUCUUUUUUUUCUUUUUUCUUUUUCCUUUACCAUUUUCCAGAACACUUUCUGUGUCCGACAAAGUCCUCCCUUUUCUCCAUUUUUUCUUGAAAUGUUAUCCUCACAACCCAGAAUCAUCGUCUGCUCGAUUAGGUUCUUCUGAUAAUCCCCAUGUGGAGCCUCUGCAACCACAGCUUCAUCUCAAUAUUUUGCACAUCUUCACAAAUUCGCUCAAAUCAAAAAACCCAUAUUCGCUGGAAUUGAAAAAACCCAUAUUCAAAUCACAAAACCCAAAUUCAAUCCUAAAUUCAUUUGAAUCACAAAACCCAACUUCACUGGAAGUGCAAAUCCCAUAUUUGAAUCACGAAACCCAGACGAAAAGAUCAUGGGUUCGCGAUGUAGGCAACGGCGAAGUGAGCAGACGAAGCAAGCAGGGAGAGGAGAGUUCGAGAAUGUAGGCAGGCAACGGCGAAGAGAGCAGAUGAAGCAAGCAGGGAGAGGAGAGUUCGCGAGUGUAGGCAACAGCAAGCGAGCAUAUGAGAGGAGAGAGGACGCGACGCAGAGAGAGAACGGGACGCAGCAUGGUCUUAGCAAUCCCAUGGUUUUUGGGGGGAUUGGCUAAGAGCUCCUAGUGAAAAAGAUAGUCCGUGCGAGUCCCCUUUAGUCCCACUUAACUUAGUCCCAGCACCUAUCAAACAUGGAACUGUAAUCCAGUCCAGUCCAGUCUCAUUUAAUGAGGCCAAACAAACGGGCCCUAAUAGUAUAUCAUUUCCCAAAACCUGAAAAACAGUAAAAUAACAAUAAUUCACACCCGCAACACAUUUUCACAAUCCGGCAAAUUUUCACAAUCAUAAAAAUAAUAGUUUUAAAAUGAAAAAAAAAUACAACAUAGUGAGAAUUAGAAUAAAGUACCUAGCUGUGAGCCCCCACCCUCGAUUGUGGAUGUCAAGGAAGUGUGAUCAUAAGGCUCUGGAUCACGGCGGCGUCGGUAAGGUCGGCGUGCAUUGAGUGGCUGAACUGACACUGAUGACGUCGAUGAUGCGGGCACCUGGGACGCCCUAGGAGUAGCCUCAGUAAGGGGUGUAGGCUCCCUAAUCAAUGGAGCACUCACUGCUGAAGUAGUAGGUGCUGAAAAUGCAGGGGGCACAUUGAUCACACUCCGACGACGAGUGAUCAACUACGACAUCUACACUUUUUGAACCAUAAAAAUAUAACAUUAGAAACUAAUCCUUUCUUGCAUUUGAAACUAAUCAAUUAGCAGCCAAAGUAAUAUCAUAUCCUUUUUUGCAUUUGUUCACAUCUGUAUAAAGCAGUAUUGCAAAGGUAGAAACAAUACUAAUUCAAAAGUAGUAUUCAUCCAGGCGAGGGCCUGGAAUCCUUAAUCUGUAUCAUCAGCAACAACGACUUCAGUAUGAUCUACAAUUAUGAUCCUGCAUUCCGCAACUCUUCCACUAAACCCUAUCACCUUCCCCUUCUUUCUCUUUCAUCUAAAGCUUGAUUCAACAUAAUCAGUAAAGCUAAUUUUUAGUAACACGAAAAGGUCAUGAAAUUGGUUCUUAAAUGCUCAGUGGUGUUGCUCGUGUGCUUAAUAAGAAGUUAUCUAUGAUGCAAGCAUCUCUGUGCUGCAAGAUACACUACCAAGAAACUUACCUUAUCUGUACUUCCAACUGUUGCACCAGAGCUCCGAACUAGAUAUUGCUAUUAUUAUGUACUAGAAAUUUCAAAAUCACUUUGUAGUUUCUGUCAUUGCUCAAUAGAUUCUUCUAUACCGUUUGGUACGUGGGACGAGGCGUUCCGUCCCACGUUUGGUGCGCCUAAAACGGAUGGAACGCGCUGUUUCACGGAACGAAUUUUGGGUGAAUUUUCGUUCCGCCUCAUCCCCCUAGAACGACUCGUUCCACAUCCGUGGAACACAAAAUUAUAACAUCUCCAUCUCCUUAUUCUUCCUCCUUGUUUCCAUCUGAGGGCAUCUUUGCUCCCUCUACGUUCCGCCCCGUCCUGUCCCAUCCCGUCCCAUUCCGCUCUGUCCCGUCCCAUCUACAUACCAAACAAUUAGGGACGAGAUUAGGAACAAAAGGGUACUGUGUAUUUGUUGUCACUGCAGGUCGCAUGUUGACUGGUCCAUAGGUGGACAUCCUUCUUUUUGCUACUUCAUUGAUUAAAAUCCUAUUCAUUUUCAAUUUUUGAUCAAGGUCCUUGGAUAUUAAUAUCAUCAUUAAUUAUUUGAAUAAUAAAAUAUUUUUAUUUUUAAAUAUAUUCUUUUAGUGUUAAAAAUGUUACAAUUAAUAUAUUUAUAUUUAUGGCUAAAUUUUUUAUCAUAUAUUUUUAUUUUUAGUUUGUACCAAUUUUUUUUUUCAUUUUUAAUUUGUACCCAUAUAUUAGUUUGUACUGUGUAUUUGUUGUCGCUCCGUCCCGUCCAGUCAACAUGAGACCUGCAGUGCCAAAGAAUGUUUCACAUUCUCAUACCUCAGUGAUGGUGUAUAUAUGAAUGCAUAUCAACCUAGCUAAUUGUGCAACUCAUGCAUUAAUCACAUAACAUUUAUAUUUAUAUUAUCUAUAUCCAUAUUCUAAAAGCCAGCAGAAAAGCACUGUUCAUCAUGUGAGAGGGCAUACUGUUCAUUAACAGUGUGUGUGAACGAUUUGCCCCCACUUGAUUUGUUUUUAUUUCAUUUCUGCCUCUUUGGUGCUUUCAAGGUGCGUUUGGUACGUGGGAUAGGACGGAACAGGGUGGGACGGACGCGUUCCGUCCCAUGUUUGGCGCGCUAAAAUUAUGUGGAACGGCUGUCCCGCGGGACAGAAAUGGGCUAAAUUUUGGUUCCGCGCUCCCCCCCUGGAACAGGUUUUUCCAUCCCGUGGAACACAAAAUUCGUUCCCUCUCCCAUUAUCUCUUUCCUCGGAUCUCAGCCUCUUCGUCUCCUCCUUCUUCCUUCUCACUUCCAUCCGACACUUAAUUUCCAGAUCAAGGCCUCUUCCGCCCAGGCGUUCACCGAGGCCAAGCAGCGGCCUCCACGACGAGUCUGUACGAGGUCCUCCGAGUCACGGCCAACGCGUCGCCAAUGAAGAUCAAGUCGGCGUACCAGAGCUUAGCCAAGCAAUACCACCCAGAUGCGUCGCGGUCGGAGUCCGACGACCGGAUUUCAUCCAGAUUAUGGCCAAGCAAUACCACCUAGACGCGUCGCAGUCGGAGUCCGACGACCGGAUUUCAUCCAGAUUCACAACGCCUACGCCACGCUGUCCGAUCCGGCAGCCCGAGAUUUCACCCAGAUUUACAACACCACGAUGUCCGAUCCGGCAGCCCGGGAUUUCACCCAGAUUCACAACGCCAAGUUGUCCAAAUUCACACGUCGUUGGGUUUCAAAUCGACGGGUUUCGAAUAGAAUCUCGCCGACGGAUUUCGAACCGACGGGUUUCGCAGUCAUUUGCGUUCCGUCCAACACGUACCAAACGCAAAACGGAACAACCAACAUGUUCCGUCCAGCGCGUACCAAACAUACACGGAACCUUCGUCCCAUCCUGUCCCGUUCCGUUCCGUCCCGUCCCGUCCCAUCCCGUCUGCGUACCAAACGCUACCUCACUGACUCUCUGCCACUACUGUUGAUGUACACGUGUCGUUGAUGUACAUGUGUUGGUAAUCGUGGGGAUGGCAAAAGUCCAGUCCGUUUCCAUUUGCUUCUAGAAACCACUAGCUUUCUCGCCUAAAAACACGAACCUAGCUCGAGUUCUCUCCUUGGUUUUUUCUUCUAUGUGUUAUCUGUGUUUGUUCUCACUUUUCGACAAUGUUUCUUCUCUUCUCCACUUUUUCCCUUCAUUAUGUUUUCUCUGAACCAAAGAAUGAUGGAAGGGCAAUGAACUCAAAUCAAUUCAAAUCAAUCUGACGCAUUGCAAUGCAAUCAAAGAUCAGUGCCCUCUUCAAACCCCCCUUCCUCCUCCUCCUCUUUUUCACCCAAACCAGCAGCUUCACCUCCUAUUGUUACUGAUGGAAACAACGAUGAAUUGACCGUCUGGAAAAGACGCAGCACCAAUACUAUAACACCAAUAAGCGAAGAGCUCCAGACCCGCAAAGGUAUUUCUUUUUUUUUUUUCUUGGGCUUUGAGGUGUUUGUAUGCCGAUAAUUUUUUUUUUUUCAUUUUUUUUUUCUGGGUUCGCUUCAACUAAGAGAACUAGGAAAUGGGUUUAGUGUGAAUUUAAAUUCUGGGAUGCCCCUUGCAGAAAAUUUUAAUUUUAAUUUUUAUGAAUAUUUGUAUUGUUUCACUGACCCCUUUUAUAUUUGUUGGAUUUUGUUUCCCUUCCAAUAUUUUCUUUGCGUACUAAAUUAGUGGAAGGGACGAAAGUUCAAUUCACCAAUUGCUGGUGAAACCCUUUUCGGACGAUAAUUCUGGGAAGCCAGAAUGGACCACAUUGGGAACAACAGUGAUCAAGAACAAGAAGAGAUGCUAUGCUCAAUUCUAUUUAGACUUUGGUCAGUUUGAUUUCAAUGUCACGUUUAGAAUGAUUUUGAGAAUAUUUGACUCAUUUUGUGAUUUAAUCAUGUAUGAUAGUCGAAUUCUUAUUUCUUAUUUCUUAUUUCUCAGUGUUCCCCUGUUAUUUACUGUCAAGUAUUAUUCGGGGAUUAAUUCAAACUUGGGACUAUAUUGGAUAAAAAUACAAUAGAUUUAGUGAAAAUACUAUCUUCAUCAUGAAAAUAACGAGAUAAUGAAUAUAUCCUAACAAAGUUUCAAAGUAAUCCGACAAAAUGAGGAAGUAUCCUUAUCCAUUGCUGAAGUGUACUGAGUUCCUUCUGCUUACUAGAUUUUACAAGUAAAUAUCGUGAAUGUUCAUGUUGUGUCUCUAUUAUAGAUGUAUAUAGUGUUUACAACCUUACUAUCCUUAUUCAAUGUUAAGCGAACUGUUGUAGGUCGAUUAUAGUCUUUGCCCUGGAGGUUGUGUUUUAGAUGAAUCCGUUUCGAUUCGAAGAAAAUUUAAACACAGAAAAAGUUGGGUUUCCUGGUGAGUUGUCUAGCAGAUUUCAGGUGGCUAAUUUCGUGAUUACAGUUAAUUUUGCAUCAUGACAUUGUGUUAUGCUAUCAAAUCUAAUUGGCGAUUUUUUGGUAUGGUUUUUGUGUGGAUGCAAGUCGGCAACGAACAGGUUGAUGACAUCUUGAGUUUUCCGACUCAUUUAUUCAAUCCUAUCGGUUUUGAUUAUGUCCCUCCAUAGCAUUUGCAACACCAUCUGCCUUGCUCUCAUCACAACUUGGCUUUCAUUUCCUCCGAUAAAGUUUCCACCUUUUUUAUUUCAUGAAAAUAACAAAGAUUCCAAAUUUAUAGAACUAUUUAGUGAUUUUCGGUUGAGUUUCUUCUUAAAAUUUUUAAUUUAAUUUUUUUGAAUUGAAAUAGGGGGAAUGGUGGAUGUGAGAGUUUCUUUUACAGCAAUUCAAAGGGAAGAGCUUGAGAGAUAAUGGUGUUAGAUCCCACAUCGUCCAGGGGACUGGAUCAUGUAAGCGUUAUAUGUAUAUUCUCAUCCCUACAUAACAUGAGGCCUUUUGGCAACUCACUAGUUUCGGGUUCCAUUGAAACUCCGAAGUUAAGCGAGUUCACACGAGAGCAAUCCCAUGAUGGAUGACCCAUUAGGAAGUUCUUGUGUGAGUUCCCAGAAACAAAACCGUGAGGGCAUGGUCGGGGUCCAAAGCGGAUAAUAUCGUGUUACGGCAGAGUCGAGUCUGAGAUGUGGUAGGGGCCCGGGCCGGGAUUUGACAAUUUGGUAUCAAAACCAAUUCCUGGCCGGAUGUGUGCCGACGAGGACGUCGGGCCCCUAAAGGGGGUGGAUUGUUAGAUCCCACAUCACCCAGGGGAGUGGAUCCUGUAAGCCUUAUAUGUAUAUUCUCAUCUCUACCUAGCACGAGGGCUUUUGGGAACUCACUGGCUUCGGGUUCCAUCGGAACUCCGAAGAUAAGCGAGUUCACGCGAGAACAAUCCAUGAUGGGUGACCCACUGGGAAAUUCUAGUAUGAGUUCCUAGAAACAAAGCCAUGAGGGCAUGGUCGAGGCUCAAAGUAAACAAUAUCGUGCUACGGCAGAGUUGAGCCCGAGAUGUGGUAGGGGUCCGGGCUGGAAUGUGACAAUGGACUCUUCCCCUAUUACUCCACAUUCACUUUUAUCAAUUUCCAAGAACACAUUAAAUUCCUUCAAAAUGUAAGCCUAGGUAUGGAAAAGCUUCGAAUUCAUUGGUUUCCUCUAAUUAGUAUGCAGAACUCUCAAAAAAGAAAGAAGUGAGGGUUGAAUGUCUACCCUCAUAUAUACAUAGAGAGAUAUGGAAAAGCUUAGAAUGGUGAAGUGAGGGUUCAAUGACUUAUUACUCAUUUUGGUCUAUUUAAAUAAUGUGGUAGGGGCCCGGGCUGGAAUGUGACAAUGGACUCUUCCCCUAUUACUCCACAUUCACUUUUACCAAUUUCCAAGAACACAUUAAAUUCCUUCAAAAUGUAAGCCUAGGUAUGGAAAAGCUUCGAAUUCCUUGGUUUCCUCUAAUUAGUAUGUAGAACUCUCAAAAAAGAAAGAAGUGAGGGUUGAAUGUCUAUCCUCAUAUAUACAUAGAGAGAUAUGGAAAAGCUUAGAAUGGUGAAGUGAGGGUUCAAUGACUUAUUACUCAUUUUGGUCUAUUUAAAUAAAGUUCACUGAUUGGUGUGUUGUGUACAUAUACUUCUUGGGUUUAUUUAUGUUUUAUGGACUUAUUUGUUUUUGUAUCGGUUGCUGACAGAAUGGAUAGGGUGCCUGAUGUGAAAAUUAACUUGACACACAAAUUAAACCCUAUUGUUGACAAUUGUAGCAAAGAUGUAAGUAGGGAUCGUUCUAGACUGAGGAUUAACUAGGGAUGCUAAUCGACACAAAUAAGACUCAAAAACACUAAACUAGACUCUAAAACAGAAAACUAAACUCUUAUGACUCAAAACUGACUCAAAACACUCAAAACAGCAGCAAACAAUAAAAAAGACUCAAUUCUAAACCUAACAAGUGAUUUUGACGAAAAUAAGACUCAACUUGACUCAAAAGAUUAAAAGAAAACAGAUUAUGACUCAACUAACAAAACUUAAUGAAACGGAGAUUGCUUUUGAUGAAUUUAAAACUUAAAACAAAAUCUUUGCAUAAAACACUUUAAGAAAACGAAUUUGAUGAAUUGAAAAUGGUGAAAGGCUAGUUAGAGGGUCCUUCUUCACACAUGAUAUAUGCAUACAAACCAAUUUCCAGUUCCUUUAAACCAUGAAUGACAACACCCCAAGUUAACCAUGAUAGCACAAAUUAACCAUCAGAUUUUCCUUAUUUCAUUGAAUUGGACGGGAUACGCAUCACAACCAAAUUAUCCUUCUCAAGUCCCCUAACUACGAAAAGCUCGAUAGAAAACAUAUCAAAAGUCAUUAAGUUCUUUGAAAAUAAUAAGCAUUGACGAGGCAUUCGUAACUAUGAAAAGCAUGAUACUCAUGCCAAGGAUUUACUUAACAUAAUCAUGACUAGUGACUUCCACUACUUGUGAAUAUAAGUUCAUAACGAUUAGGUGAAACUCCCUUAUAUUCUAGCAUCAAGUUCAUGCAUGCAAACUAAGUAUGCAUCCUCAAUCAACAUACAUAAACAAGUUUUAAUAACUCAGAUAAGCAAAUCACAUUCAAGACUCAAGAAAUAAUAAUUGGAUGUAAUCAAUUCAUAUAAAACAUAUAAUCAUGGCUUCGAAUUCACCUCCAACUAUAAAAAAAAAUUAGUUCAUCAUGUUCGCAAUUAAACAAGGACAAUUAAAUUUAAACAUUGAAAACAAAGAUAGAAUACACCUAGAAACGCUCCAACAAUCCAAUGUCUUGAAUGACAAGCACAACUCUAGGUGGCUCCUUCUUCUCCUUCCUUGCACAGUUGCGGCACUAGAGGGAUGUAUGGCACGAAUUUGUGGUGAAUGGUGUAGAAAAAUAUGGUAGAGGGUGGUGGUUUGAAUUGUGGCAGAAAAUAUGUAUUUAUAGGCUAGAGUUUUGCGCAAAGUAGUGGAGGAGAAGGAUUACACAAUCCUAGAGGAAUAGGACUAGGACAUUCAGCACAAAGCUUCUAGAAAGGGAUUAAAUUCAUCAGAUUUCUAGGGGGAAAAGGAUCAAGUUAUUGGCAUUGUUUCAGGGCUUCUAGAAUCAGAUAUUAGGUAUUCUAAUGUGAUAAGGAGUCCCCCUUGCAGCUGGAAUUAAGGUAGGAUAUGAUAAGAUAAGAUAAUGUUAGUUUGGAUAAGAUAAAGUUGGACAAUAUUUUGGAUAAUAUUCCUUUAUUUUAGCUGAUUCCUUAUCUUCUUUGUCUUGGAUUUAUUUCUUCAACUCUUUAGCACAUUCCUUGACAUCUUUGGUCUUCAAAUUCGUCCAUCCAUCUUGCUCCAUCCAUGUGCUUUCCAUUUGAUGCCCAAAACUGCUUCAAAAUGCUCCAAAUUGCACUUUCUUGCCAACUUUGUCAUUUGGACCUACAAACACACGAAAAUAGCUUAAAACACUAAAAUGAGCACAAACUAAUUAUGAAAAUGCAAGAAAACAAGCUAACUAAGUCGUAUAAAUAUGCUCCUAUCAGUGCCAAAAAGAAAGUUGGCAUUAGGAAUAAUGGGUAGAGUUUGAUCUCUUCAUUUGGCUUGUGCAUAUUUCGUUUGAUCUCUUACUUUGGGUUGUGCAAAUUUCGUUUGAAUUAAUUUGGGUUGUGAGGAAGUGAAUAAUUAUUUGAAUUAAUUAAUUUCUCUUGGGUUGUGCAUAUUUCCUUUAAAUUAAUUUGGGUUGUGUUUGAGCAUUGUACAUGCAUGAACGUGGGUAAAGAGUAUGAGGAUAAAGGGAAGAGAAAAUGUUGAGAUCAUCCACCUCAAUCGAUUUGUUGAGGUAGUUUUUGUACCCUUUUUUUUCUGUUUAAAAUUAUAUGUUUUCAUCUUUUAGGAGUAUGUCAUCGAGGAUUUGCCACGAAUUUCUGAGAAUUUCAUUUCAUCCAAACAAUCAGCGUUGGAAUGUUAGUGCCUUUUUAUUCAAAUUUUCUUUAUUUGAAUAUUAUGUGUUUAGAAGUGUAAAUUUGCAUAAUUGAAUCUUCGUUCCAAUUUUAUAUUUCAUUUCUUUGUGACUUUAUGCAGAACUUGGAAUAAGUUUUUCACAUAGCAUGGAUGAUGAAUAUAAGAAACUCAUACACAAAAUGACUCCACCAAGGUAUAUACAAAUUAAAAUCAUAACUUUCAUCAAUAUAGAAGUAUAAAGUAUUUUUUAGCACACAACUUUGGCAUAAUAAUUUGUCUCAUAAUUUAGAAAAUAUUGUACAUAUUUAUGCUACCUGGCAAUCAACGACUAAUAUUACUUCCAAGAAGGCAAGAUCAACAUAUGGCAUGUCACAUCAGUAUAUUUUCCACAAACAGAUGGUAAAAUUGUACACGCAACGUUAGGCAAGUUUCAAUCCUUUUUACUUCCAUUUUAACACAUUUCUAAUUAACAUUUCGUACUAAAUUUUGAUUAACUUUAUUUAAAUGUUUGCUUUCAGAAUUUCACAAGUUGAAUUACCACUCUCCAUUUUAAAUCUCCGGUUAUAAGGUGACUUCACCUCUCUCUCCACUCUCUCUCCCAAAACUCAAUUUUGAACUUUCUAUGCAUAUGUUUUUUUUAAUCAUUGGCUAACUGUCUUUAUUAUCUGUUGCAGUUGUAUUCCCAACUCUCCAAGAGAGUAGAAGAAUUUUCCUUUGGAAACACCUCAAACUAGAACGAGUCUGGUAUCCAAUUACAUUCAUUGCAUAUAAAACUUGAAAAAGCUAAUGAUGUUUUUCAACAUUGUUUAGCCUGUAACAAGCUUAGUUUGACUGGUAUACUCUCAAUACUGCAUUUGUAAUUUAUGCAAUUAUUAUUGGACCAACUUUUUGAAUAAAGAAUUAUCUCUUCACACUUUGGAAAAAUAGAUUUUUAAUUUUUCUUUUGGUAUCAAAAUUUGUGCCGUUCAUGAUAAGGUUACGUAUAAAUUGCAUUGCCUUUCGUAAUUCUCUAUUUUUUACUCAAACAUUAUUUAUGAAAAUUGAAGCUAUAAAAUAUUUUAUAGGAUUUUCAUUCACGUAGCAUCGUUUGGAUACAAAUUUCUAAUAGAUACUAAAAACUCAACACAAAAAAUACCGUUCAUUAACAGUGUUCUUCCAUUUUCACCCCUGCUUCUUUUUUACAAUUUUCCUUUGGAAACACCUCAAACUAGAACGAGUCUGGUAUCCAAUUACAUUCAUUUCAGUUUUGUGGAAAGGUGCUCGAAGGCUCUUCCAUUUUCUUCCGUCGGUUUUCCUUUCUCUUCCUCUCUGUUUCUGUGCUUUUCUCCCUGCGUCAAUCCUUCGUGUUUCCCUGCUUCUCUCCGCCUCCUCCUUCGCUCAAGAACCACUGGUCAAUCUGGUUUCUCUGGCUUCUUCCGAUGGCGGCCAAGAUUUCUUCAUGGAGGAGAUGAUGAUGGAGGUCAAUCGGAUCUUGAAUACGAUUUCUACCGCGAGACUUGCCCAGAAAUUGAGACCAUUGUGAGGUCGACGAUGGCGCAGAUUUACUCCCACCAGAAGAAUGUCUCUGCUCAGCUGCUGCGCCUCAUUUUCCAUGACUGCUUCAUUCAGGUAUAUCCCAAACCCCAAGAUUCUUUUUUUCUUCAUCUUUGUGGUUAUUUCUCGUAUGGGUUUUGUUCCGAUUGCUCUGCUUUUAAUCUUGAUGCUACUUUUCCUCAUCUUUGUGGGCUUUUCUCAAAUAAGGUUUCUUCCAAAUUCUAAUCUUGCUCUGGGUUCUCUUACUUUCUUCAUUUUUGUGUGGGUUUUUCUUGAGGGUUUUUGUUUUGAUUGUUCUGGAUGUUCUGGUUUUAGUUUUGAUUUCUUCUUCCCUGUUUUUUUUUUUCACAAAUGUGUUUUUUCACAAACACCCCCUGCAGGAUUUGCUACUACUAUAUUUCCUUACUCGGAUUCAUUUCCGACGUUCUAAUUCUACGGAAUCAGCAGAAUAUCACUGAUCGAUAAAAAAAUCCUCUUUCAUCAUAUUCUCUUAGUAAAAUACAUACAUCUCUCAUUUUCCUAGCAGGUGCUAUAUUAUUGUGUUAGUUUCUUCCCUGCUAUAAGUAUAUGUGUGUGUAUAAUUAUUAUGUACAUAUGUAUAUCCCAAUGUACAAAGAACAAUAGGAGAAGUCUACAUGCAACAUAAAACUAAGCCUUAAUUUGGGAACCAGUUCAGCAGACAUAUGGUUUUGUACUUUCAUUUUGUCAAUCUUCUCUUCUGUACUGUAUCGUUGUUUUGAAAGUUCAUUAGGAGAACUACUUCGAGGUUUAAUUCAUUUUGUGCUAUCAGUUUUCUUAAGUGGAAGCAAUAAGUAUGUUUUAUAUGGCAUAUUUUAAAUAAUUACAUAAAAAAUUACUUUCUAAAGAUUGAUGUGAAAAUUUCUAAACUGAAUUGAGCAAAGAAUUGAAGUGUUAUUUCAUUUUUUAAUGCUUUUAAUUGAUUCAUGUUUAUGUUUGAAUCAGUAAAGAAACGUUGCUAAUGGUGUGUCAGUUUGGCUUCGGUUAUUUGGUAAGAGAACUUACUUUAACUUUCCAGUUUAAUUCAUUUUGUGUUAUCAGUAUUCUUAAGUGGAAGCGAUAAGUAUGUUUUAUACAGCAUAUUUUAAAUAGUUACAUAAAAAAUUACUUUCUAAAGAUUGAUGUGAAAAUUUUUAUAAACUGAAUUUAAAUUUAAGAAACGCAUGAAUAAAUUUAGCAAAGAAAACAAAAAAUGAGAACUAUUUUAAAAAUUUUAAAAUGUGUUCUAGGGUUUAGUAAGAAAAGUUGUUCCAUGAGUUGUGUUUUGAGGUUUACGUUUACGAUGUGAAUAGAAAUAUGAAUGAAAUGCACAUACAUUAUUUUUAAUAUUUUAAGAGAUGAUGUUUAUUGUCUAGAGAAAAUAACAGCAUCAUUCCUACAUGUUAAGUUUAUUUAUUUUUUCAAUUAUUGUGGAGAAAAUCUGAGGCCAAGUUCUUCGCUCUUCUCAGUUUGUGCUGCUGAUCGGCUGUCACCACACUAUGUAAUGAACUCUUCUCCUUCAAAUAUAUCAUCUUCUAAUUGUAUAAUCUUCAUGGUCUGUUUGGUCUAUUCCAUUUCCAAUUGGAUUAUCGCUGUUGGUUCUAUGUUUGAAGUUGGAAAAACUCAUAUGUUGCUUUUACAGUUUGAUUAACAGUUCUUAAUUAGAAUUGGCAAAUUCUUUUACUAAACAUUUUUUAACUCAUAUUUCUAACGUUGGAGGUUCAUUUUGAUUUGAGAUGGAAAUUAAUGUUAGCAAGAGUUUAAAAUGUGAUGUAAGACAGAAACUAUUAUGAUUUUGUAGAGAAAAUAAGCUUUUAAAUGAAAGAGCUGUAAAAACAAAGUCAAGGUUAGGUUAAAGGGUAUAAGAGAGUAAAAUUGGGAUUAUGAAGGGUUAGACAGGUAUGGGUGGGAUUGGUUGAAGGAUUUGAUGGAAGCUAACUCUUAAUUAUGAUGCUGUUAAAGAAAAAAAAGUCAAGGAUAAGUUGAAGGGUUUGAAAGAAACUAAAGUGGAAUUAAUUGGAACCGAACUAUUCACUAGAAAUCGAUAUAUUUUUAGGUGUAUUUGGAAUACAAAGUAGUAUAAUAAGUGGUAUAUUUAGUUUAUAUUUUAUGUACUUGUUCUUAUAAUCUCUUAUGCCUUGGUCUAAUUGCUUUCUUGAUUCGAUCUGUUUUUGUAGAAACUUGGUUGCAAGGCAAGUUGAAAACGCAAAAAAGUUUGAUCACAUCCUAUAGAAUUGCCAGAGAAGGUCAUCUCCAUUUCGUGCAAAAUCAGACUUCUUUCUGCACACAAAAACACUAGGUAAACACGCUUUAUCCUUAUUUUGUUCAUGAUAUAAUUCUACUGUCUAUAAAUUUACUUCAAAUUUUUUUCCCUUGCCUGGGAUGCUUCCUUAAUAACCAACAUAACAGAGGACAACUUUUAGUGUUGCAGUAAACAACAUUUCCCAUUAAUGUUUUUGGAUAGGAAGCAAUUUGUGUUUUUUCGUAUCCAAAGAACUUCGUAAUAUUUUUAAUAGAUGAAAUAGGUUUCUCUUUUGAUAUUUAAAUUUGUUUCAUUCAUGAUGAGGUUGUGUAUAAUUUGCAUUGGCAUUAGUAACUGAGUUUUUGACUCAAACAUUGUUUAUGAAAAUUGAAAUUGCAUAACCUUUCGUAUAGUUUUCAAUCCCGUAGCAACGCACCAGUACAAAUUCUAGCUUAUAUAUAUAUAUAUAUAUAUAUAUAUAUAUAUGUAUGUAUGUAUGUAUGUAUAUAUGUAUGUAUAUCAAAGUAGGCGACAACUGUUGACAAAGACAACUACGGAGCUCAGAGAAGAUUUCCAAAAGUAUCGCCUUUUCAUUUUUUAAUAAUGUCUUCAAUUAGUGCAAUAUUAUUAUUAAAAAUGUUUGGUCAGUUUGUAUUUUAUUGGUGAUCAACUAGUACCUGAUUAAUUAAGCGCAUGAUAUUAAAAACCUUAAUUAAUAUAUAUAUAGCAGUUGGUAGAGGAACCAAUGAGAGACGAUGAUCAUGAGAAGUUGGAAUCGGCAACCAAAGAAGCCCAACAAUGGUAUACCUAUUCACUUGAUGAUGAGGUAAGUACCAGUUUUAAUUAAUAACAAGUUCAUCCUAGGAACCAUUUCUAUUACAUAAGAACAUCCAGGCUAUUAUUUUAGGGUUAUUUUUGUCAUAUAUUAUUUUUAUUAAAAAAAAAAUUGUUUUAUUUACACCAGACAAUCUUAUGAAUACACCUCACUUUUUUUGAAUUGACGUUGAACUUCCUAUUUUACUCUUAUUUAAAUUUGAAAAAAAAAAAGAAAAUAAACAAACCCACCAUUAACAAAAUUUCAUUGAUCUCAAUAUUCAAUUGUUACAACAAGGUAGCUUUGGUAAUUUUAUGUAUCCUAUAAAUUACAAUUAAGGAAUGCUUCUACAAGCUAUUAAAGGUUUUACAAUACCGAGGCAGGGGGUAGGUGUACCUAAGGGCGUGAGACAACUCCCCCUAAGAGCAACUCCACUCAUGGAGCUCUCCCCCUGGCAAUCCACUAUUGAAUCCACCAUAUUGAACAGUAACUACCUUUAAUGAAUAGUAACUGCUAUUAAUGAACAGUAAUUGUUAUUUGCAUCUCCACCCUUGGAGCCCUUCUCCUGGCAAUAGGCAAUAAAAUAUUAGUUUUUUUUGUUUGUUUAAAUAAUACAAAAUAAAAUUAUUUGUAAUUUCGGAUAAGAUUUUUUAAAUCGUUCUCGUUGCGCCACGUGUUAUUUUAUAAAAAAAAAUAAAAUAUUUAGCGAUGGAGUUCGAUAAGAUUUUUAUCCAAUGUCAUCGUGCCACGUGUCAUUAUCUUUUGAGAAUCUUUGACGAUAGAUUUCGAUCAAAUUUUAACUCGUUUAAAAUUGCGCCGCAUGUCAUUAUCUGAAAAGAUAAUUAUUGGAGAUUGAUUUCGAUAAGAUUUUUAUCCAAUACAAUCGUGCCACGUGUCAUUAUUUUUUCAGAAUCUUUGAUGAUAGAUUUCGAUCAGAUUUUUAACGAAUAACGGCAUGCCACGUGACCUCGUCUACAAUCCGAUCCUUUCUGAAUCGUCCAUAUAAUCCACCAUCCAUCCUCACAAAUCUCACACCAAUUUUCUCAACAUCUCUAUCUCAUUAUUCAUAGUUUAUGCUUCUUCUUCACCAUCCAUCCUUACAAUGUCUUCUUCUUCAUCAAGGAUGAUGUGGGAAAUCAAUCAGUAAGAGGAAGAAUUGUUUAACCAAUCUGAAGGAAUGUUCAACCUUCAGAUAGUCGAAAAUGAGAUGAAAGAGGAUGAGGAGCGUAGAAGGAGAGAUGACGAACAAGAAUGGCUAGAGCCUUACAUUCCCGUCGAGUCAUCCAGACUGUUGCUCAGAUAUGCAGGCCCAACCGUUCAAGAAACCUUGAUAGAAGCAGGCAACGACGGGGUGAAGAGCUGUUGGACGAUUACUUUGUCCAUAACAGUGCAUUUCCUGAUACGUACUUCAGACGCCGUUUUAGAAUGGAACGACAUUUGUUCAACAGAAUCAUGACUGAUGUUUGCAACCAUGAUUCUUACUUUGUGCAAAAGAAGGAUGCUUGUGGUGUUAUGGGUCUCCUGCCUCAGCAAAAAAUCACUGUUGCAUUGCGGAUGCUUGCGUAUGGAGCAUCUGCAGACCAAGUGGAUGAGAUAACGAGGAUGGGGAAAUCAACCAUUCUUGAGGCCCUGAUGAGGUUUUGCGGAGCAGUCGAAUCUUUGUACAUUGCAAAGUACCUUCGAAAACCUACUCGCAUGGACUUGCAAAGGCUUCUGAAGAAGGGCGAGAUGCGAGGUUUUCUUGGGAUGAUAGGAAGCAUCGAUUGUAUGCACUGGACGUGGAAAAACUGUCUAAGUGCAUGGCAAUGCGCAUAUGGGGAUAGAAAAGGAGCAAAAUUUAUCAUUUUGGAAGCAGUGGCAUCUUUUGAUACAUGGAUAUGGCACGCCUUUUUUGGGGUUCUGGGGGCUCAAAAUGAUCUUAACGUCCUUGCCCAAUCCCCAGUGUUCAACGACGUCCUGCAAGGAAAGGCACCAAAAGUCACGUACGUCAUCAACGAACGUAGGUACGACGGGCCAUACUACCUAGCUAACGGCAUUUACCCACGGUGGGAAACAUUUGUCAAAAUAGUGCAACGUCCGUGAAGUGCAAAGGAAAAACACUUUGCAAGCUGUCAAGAGGGGUGCAGGAAGGAUGUGGAACGUUGUUUUGGUAUCUUUCAAGCUCGUUGGGCGAUCGUCUGGGGUGCUGCCAGAAUGUUCGAUGUAGAGUCACUUCGAUCCAUCAUGAUGACGUGCGUCAUUCUUCACAACAUGAUUGUGGAAGAUGAGUUUGAUUAUGAUGCGGUUGAUGAAUACAAGCCAGAGCCAGACAUGAUGAAAAAUUCAAGAACACAGAUAUAUUGUGCGCAUGAUGCCACCGAAGAACGCGUGCAACACGAGCCAUUAGAAAGGGAUGGACGUUACAAUGAAAGGGUCAUUCAACGAUAUACUGCACUUUAAAGAUCAUCUAUGCACAAUGAUCGGCAAAUUGACUUGAUAAAGCACCAGUGGGCAUUGAAACAAGCUGAAGAUACUUAAGUUUAUUUAGUAUGUUUGUUUGUAUUUCGUGUGUUUAUGUAAUUUUAUUUGGUGUGUUUUUUGUAGUGAGUUUUUUAUUAUUUCGUAUGAUUAUGUAAUUUUAUUUGGUGUGUUUUUUGUAGUAAGUUUUUUAUUAUUUCGUAUGUUUAUGUAAUUUUAUUUGGUGUGUUUAUGUAAUUCCAAUUGGUGAGUUUUUUAGUUUUAUUUGGUGUGUUUUAUAAUUUUAUUAUACGUGAACAAUUUGAUGAAUAAAGAUUCUAUUAUUAGGAUAAAUAUAUUACGAAAUUAAAUACAUGUACUCUCACUUUAAAUAAAGUACUAACUUCAAUAAAAUGGAAACAUAAAUAAUAAAUUACAACCCAAAGUGAUUGGAAAACUAUGGGCUUCGAUUACAAAAAGUACCCUAUUCAUCAUCACUUAACCAAUAUGUGGUGCUAGGAUCAUCUUGUCCUGUUGUGCUAGGACCAUCUUGUCUUGAUUUUGCUUCUCUUGCACGCCUUCUAUGCACCACAUCCGCUUUCUCCGACUGCCAAAAAUAUUUAGAAUUUGAAGACAUCCCUUCUAAACGCGUGUUCAUAAUGUCACGAUCUCGUUGUGCAAUUCUUUCUUCUCUAAGCAACUCCCUUUCUUGCCUAAGUAACUCUCUUUCCCUCUGUUCAGCUUAAAAUGCUUGUUGAAUAACUGCAGCUUUUACCUCAUCUCUAGCCUUUUCAGCCUCAUAUUUCGCCAAUUCCCGCGCCAACGUCAAUUCACCUUGACGAACAAGUUCUUGCAUGUACUGUCCAUAAUCAUUUUUGGAAGCACUCCCUUUCCUCUUUGAAGCCUUCUUACCUUGAGGCCUAAUUGGAUAACGGGUCGACCUCGACGCUUGUUGAGGAAUGGGCAUUUCAGGCACUUCUUCUCCAUCUUCUUCAUCAACAUGGGAGCCAUGAUCGGGUGUAGAGUGUGGAGGGGUGAUGUGUACAAAGGUGCUGUGUAGAGGGAUGCUGUUCAUGCAUACUUCUGGACCAACAAGCACAACUUUGAAUUUAGGACAAUCUUUAACAAUAUUCCAACAUUCCCACCGGUUGAAUGAUUUGUUUCUUGAUUUGAUUUUGGCAGCAUACCAUGCUUGUGCUUGAAGUUGCUACAAAUAAUAAUAAUGAAAUUAUUAGGUAACAAAUAAAUAAUACAAACAAAUAAUAAUAAUGAAAUUAGGUCACAAAUAAAUAAUACAAACAAAUAAUAAUAAUGAAAUUAGGUCACAAAUAAAUAAGGCAAACAAAUAAUAAUAAUGAAAUUAGGUAACAAAUAAAUAAUGCAAACAAAUAAUAAUAAUAAUGAAAUUAGGUAACAAAUAAAUAAUACAAACAAAUAAUAAUAAUGAAAUUAGGUCACAAAUAAAUAAUGCAAACAAAUAAUAAUAAUAAUGAAAUUAGGUAACAAAUAAAUAAUACAAACAAAUAAUUAUAAUCAAAUUAGGUAACAAAAUAAUAAUACAAACAAAUAAUUAUAAUAUAUUCUUACCUCAUCCGCAUAAUUUGCCCCACCUCGAACAUUACUACUAGCUUGUGUCAAGGCAUCUCUCCACGUACUAAAGGAAUGGCUAAGUAUUUUCCAACGACUGGACAUCGAUUCUUUGGUUCUUUUCCCACUCAUUUGCUCAAGAAAUUUGGUAUGAAUUAAACUCCACAUUUCUCGCAACUACAUUUCAUUACCCGUAAGGGAAUUAUGAGUAACUUCAACCCAGCUAGUGCACAACGCAACAUCUUCAAGAAGCGACCAAUUCGUACCUGCAUCAGUAGUCAUUUUGUGGAAAAAAAAAUUGGAUUGAAACUUUGAGAAAAAGAUAGGAAUUUGAUUGAAAGUAGUUGAGAAAAUAUGAAUUUGUGAUGUAAGGUAGAUGGAGAAGAAGUGGUAUUUAUAGAAAAGUAAAAACAAAUUUUUACAAAUUUUUUUUCAGAUUUUUUACAAUUUUUUCGGAUUUUUUCCAUUUUUUUUAAAUUUUUAUUCAAAUAAUUAAUCUCUGCCGUUGGAUUUUAAAAAAAUUGAAUUCCAACACUCCAGAUUGUGCCACGUGUCACAAUAGUAAUUUUUUUUAAUUUUAAAACUAUUUUUUCUUUAUUUAUAAAGCAUAUUAAUAUCGACCGUUGAUCUCAGAUCGAACGGUUGAUAUUAAAUAAGAUUUUUUUUAUUUUUUUUACCGUUGAGAUCCAACGGUCCAAAUUAAGGAGCCGUUGAGAUCGAACGGACCGUGGGAAGCCACGUGGCUUCCCAACGGUAACUGAAACCACUGCAAAAGUGGACUGCUUUUCUGAAAAGCUAUCGGGCGACGCGCCCCCACGCGCGAGUGGGGUGCAUGCGCCUGACAGAAAAAAAUAAAAAAAAGGGUUUGGAGCUCGAGUUCACGGGCUGUCAAAAAUUGACAAGCCUUUUGCUCGGGCCUUCUCCACCAGCUUGGGCUCUUCAAGGCUGGAGUUGAUUCACAGGGCCUUGGGCCCUUUCCUUUCCCCUGUCCCCCGGGCUACAAGCAUGGCUGGAGCUGCUUUAAGAGAGAGAGGGGGAAUUGAGUGACUAGUGUGAACUUAUACAAUACCGAGGCAGGGGUAGGUGUACCUAAGGGCGUGAGACAACUCCCUCUAAGAGGGGGGGGGAUUGAGUGACUAGUGUGAACUUAUGACCCCAUUGACUAGAGUGGCGGAGGAUGAGUGAGAUUUCAGUCGAGUGAAAAAAAUAUUUGAGAUUUUUAUUUUUUAUUUUUUGAACAGGUGGGUGGGUUCAAUAAAAGUAGGGCUAAAAUAGAAAUUUUAUAAAAUAAUUUUAAGUGGGGUGUUUUCAUAAGAUUGUGAUUUUAUUUAUUUAUUACACAAAAUUAAUUUAUUUACAAAACAAGAUAUUUAUAUACUACAUAAAUAUCCAAAUUUAUAUUUAUAAUGCAGUGGUGGUGAUACCUACCAUCACGUAAAAGGAUGGAUGAGCAAAAUUUAUAUAGUAAAGAUUGGAUUAGCGAACAAAUAUUAUUACUUUUGAACAAACAUUAUUAUUUUUGUUAAAAAAAAACAAAUAUUAUUAUUUUUAAUUUCGAAUGACAAUGCACCAGUAUUUUUUUGGCAGGAAUUUGAACAUCCCCCUUCUGACCACCCUUACUACCCAGUUCCGGCACAUCUUAUCAACAUCGAUGAUUUCAGUUGAGUCAAGACAUAGGGGGUGGGCUUAGCCAGUGUAGAUACUAUUAUUUGUUCAAAAAAAAGAAAAAAAGACAUGGAGAGAAUCUCUCAUUGCCUCUCAUUUGCAUCUGUAUUAACUGCAUUUUAAUUUUAUAAAGGGUUCAUAAUGUGUAGCUUGUUGUUUAAUUGGUGGUUAAAUAUUAGUAAAUGCAUAAGGGGUGUGAUAGCACACCCCAAUGCAUAAACAUAGCUUGGAAAGAGUGUUUGGUUUUUUUAUACAUUUUUAAGGGUAAAAAGACUGUUUACUACCCUCAUGUUUCGUGGUUUUCAACAUUUAGUACAUCAAGUUUUUUUCGUCCUAGAGUCAUACCUAAAUUGUUAAUUUUGGGACAGUCUCAUACAUCCGUUAGUUAAACUGUUAAUUCUCCCGUUAAGUGAUGACGUGGCGCCCAUGUAGACAAUGACUGGGCGCCAUAUGUCAUUAAAAUAUUAAAAUAAUUAAAUAAAAGUAAAAAAAAAAAAUUCCCCAGAUCCCCUUUGUCUUCCCCAUCCCGGCUCCCCUCUCUUCCCCCUCUGCACUUCUGCAGACACAUCUGCACAUCCAUCCAUCCUUCCCCCUCCCUCAAACUCAAACUCUGAAACACAGAAUCCAUGGAAGAUCGGAGAUUCUUGCGUUUUUUCUCCCUUUCCCUUUGCAUUGGCCUAGUCCUCCACAGCUCCGACACCCCCCACCACCCUCUCGACCUCCUUUCCCUUUGUGAAGAUCCAUCUGAAAUUAAAGAAAGCAUAAAUCUUUGGGGUCGGAAUCAAAAUUGAACCUUUGCCGCGGAAGACAGGGAUACAGAGGCAUAUGGGUCGGAAAAUCAGGAAAAGCCGGCGUCUUUCGCCAAGACACUGACCCAAUACGACGCCAACAAUGGCGGCGGGUUCUCUGUCCCCAGGUACUACGCCGAGACCAUUUUUCCAAAGUUGGAUUACUCAGCAGACCCGCCGGUGCAGAUGGUGAUCGUGAAGGAUGUCCACGACGAGGUAUGGAAGUUCAGGCACAUUUACAGAGCCGCGGCGGCAUUUGUUGACUGCUGGGUGGAGCACAUUUGUGAACCGGAAUAAAUUGGUGGCUGGAGACUCCAUUGUGUUUCUAAGGGCCGAAAAUGGCGAUCUCUGUGUUGGGAUUCGAAAAGGGAAGAGGGGAUUAGACGGCGGUGGAGGAAAUGAAGUGGCUUCUAGAUGGAACAACAGCCACAGCAGCGGCGACGGCUCUGGAGGUUGUGUUCUGCCUUAUGACAGGUUAUGUGUGUUUCUGAGAGAGGAGGAUAACAAGAUGAGAAAUGGGGGUGGGGGUUUGAGCCCCAAUGGGAAUAUGAGAGGGAAUGGGAGAGUGAGGCCUGAGAGUGUAGUUGAGGCGGUGACUAUGGCGGCGAAUGGCCAGCCGUUUGAGAUGGUUUAUUAUCUGAGGGCGAGCAUGCCGGUUCUUUUGGGAGAAAACCCGGAUUCGAAAACGAUUCCUGGAUUGGAUUCUGGGGAUUUAGAGAGGUGGGGUUUGUAGGGAAUUCAUUGGCGAGUUGGGCGGAGAAAGAACAAGGGGGUCGGCGAGGUAUGAGGGAAGGAUGGAUGUGCAGAGGUGCAGAAGGAUCUGGGGAGUGAGAGCAGAGAGUGAGAAAGAGCGGAGAGUGAGGGUGAGCGGAUGUGCAGAGGUGCAAAGGGAGAAAGGAAGGGGAUCGGGAUGGGGAAGACAAAGGGGAUCUGGGGAUUUUAAUUUUUUUUUAAAUUUAAUUAAUUAUUUUAAUGACACGUGGCGCCCAGUCAUUGUCCACAUGGGCGUCACGUCAUCACUUAACGGGAGAAUUAACAGUUUGACUAACGGAUGUAUGAGACUGUCCCAAAAUUAACACUUUAGGUAUGACUCUGGGAUGAAAAAAACUUGAUGUACUAAAUAUUGAAAACCACGAAACAUUAGGGUAGUAAACAGUCUUUUACCUUAUUUUUAAUGAUCUUUUUGUUGGAAUUUAUUUUUGGCCGAAAAAGUUUAGGAGAAAUGGAUAUCUUAUCUCAAGUUCAAGAGAUAUCAUAAUACUUUUUGAGAACUUGUAGAAGGAGUCUUAGCCCUGGUUUUCACAAAUUGCUCAUCAAGAGGGAUUGCCGGCAAUAGAACUUGAAACCUAGGCCUUAGUUUAGCAAAGAGAACGAUCAUUACCAACUCAAUCAACCAUUGUUGGCUUUUGUUGGAAAAUUUAAUUAGCUAGGUAUCAUCCCACUUUCCAUGUUUAUUAAUUAGCUGUUUGUUUUGAUAUUUUGUGCAAUUUUUGGGACAACCCUACCCUGAGUUUAAUGAAUUUUAUUUCUCGAAGGUGCGAAAUGACAAAAUGCCCUUGUAGGGCUAAGUAGAAUUCUAUGUGGACAUUUGACCUCAAUUUAUAUUUAUCUUAUUUCUUGUCAUGUUCUUGUAAUACUUAUCAUUAUGAACGCGUGGGCGCAAGUGGAAUUGAAUUUGAAAGCAAAACAAAGAUUUUACGAAACAUGGAAUGUUAAGGGUAAUUUGAUAAUUUCACAUUUGUUUGGAGGUUUUUCAUGUUUUGUCUUAUCCGGAGUUGGAGCGUGUGCCACUAGGGGCCCACGCCUCCACUUUGUCCCUCUCUUUCAUGUUAUGUCACUCUCUUUCUUUCAGAUGGAAAAUUUUUAGUUGUGACAGGAAUACAAAUUAUAUACCAUGUGUUUUUAUAUAAGUGGUGGAAAAUUUUAUUUUUUAAGUUAUUAACUUUUUAACACACAUAUUUCACCAUUUAUAUAACGAUACGUGGUGUACCAUUUCGUGUGACGGUCAUAUUGAAAAAUGCCUCCUCUCAUACUCCCUCAACUCUUUCUCGCUUUCGUUUUCUUCGACAACCACGCACAACAACCACCUCAAUUUCUCAUACGAAUCGAGUUUCCGUACCCACCAUCACUUUCCUCCCAUCACCACGAACUCAACCAUGAGUUUUGUUUCGUGAAACUCAAACUUAAGUCGUCGAACAGAAGGCUCCAACACAGAGGACUUUUCUUGGCCAAAUUUUGCUGGUUUUGAGCGAAAGGUAAGCCUCAUUACCACCAACAUUCGGUUUGUCUUGUUGUGUACAUAAGGUGGAUUGCGUAAUUUGGUUGAGAAUUGUCGUAGAUUGAAGUGGGGGAAGAAAACCCAGUUUUCUAGCGAGUUUUUUGAAGGCCGACGAGGGAUUCUAGCCAAAUGGCUAGGAAACUCCUGGAGUCCAAAUAUGCCUCUUGGACAUUGAAGCAACGAUGGUGACGCAACAACGAUUAAAAGUUUGUUAGCUAAAAUUUCCUAAAAUCGACAAGCUGCAUCGGUAACUUGAACCAGUUUUAGGUCAAUCGACCUGAACCCGGUACUAACUCGACCCGAACCCAGUACCAACUCGACCCGAAGACUAAUCCAACACGAUUCAAAUCUGGUGUAACCCAUUAGCAUGGAUCCGACCCUACAACCCGAUCCGUUUCCUAAUUCUGGUCAAAAUAUUCCAAGUAUAUAUCGUUAACUCUACCAUUAACUAUAACAGAAUAUUCCUUCCGGUGACAAAAAAUGCACUUCUGGUAACAAAAUAUUUUGUUUGGUGACGGCAUAUUUCAUUUUUGGUGACAGUUUUAGCCACCCGUAUGUGGCGACCUUCUGUAGGCGCAUGGCAGUGCGUAGGGUGGGGAUCAGGGAUUUUUGGACCCGGAUUGCAGUAAUUUGAGCUCUGUUUAUUAUUCAUUUUCAUAGUUUUCAACUAAUUUUCGAAGUAAAUAUGGUUUUACUUUCGGAAAACUAUCCAGAGGAUUUCAAAGGCCAAGCAAGGCAAUGAGGCUACGGCCCAACUAUAUAUUAGUGAGUGGGCUUUGUUUUUCAUUCUACUGAUUUCAAAGGCCACACACACACACACACACACAUAUAUAUAUAUAUAUAUAUAUAUAUAUAUAUAUCUCUCUCUCUCUAAAAACAAACUCUACUUGUGAAAAAAUAGACCAAAUGUUGAAGGAAUUAAAAAGGGAACAAAACACCAUUAAUGUAGUAAGACACCAAGAAUCACAAAACAACAUCUGAAAACUUAGAAUCAGAAGACACUAACGCAAUUGAAAAAUUGGAAGAAGUUUUCCAAAAUUUCGAAUUGAAAAGAAUAACAAACAAAGGCAAAAUAAUUCCAACCAGUCUUGCCAAUAAUUGGCAUCCAAGGCCAACACCUCUGGAUAUUCAAUUUGAAGAAAGAAAUUUCCAAAGUCAAUUCUGAUCAAUGUCGGCAGAUAAACUCUAUGAAUAGAAUAUAAAUGGUUUAUUCGAACAAGAAAUUCUAAACAAAUUACAACAUGUAUCUAUGGUUGCUAAUAAUUAUGUUACCAAUCAUAAUCAUGAAAUUUUGAUAUGUAUAGUAUUAUAGAUAAUAUUUCCUUUUUAAUAGUACUAUAAUUACUUUAAGUUGAAUUUCAGACUCUUGAAUGGAAACAAACAAUUUGUUCAGGAGAACCGAGAUGAGUUGACUGUCUAAGAAUACCUCUGUAACCAAUUUCUGUUGGAAAUGUGCCCUAAAACCAAUCAUAUGAUGAUACUUUACGGACAUUUCACAUGUUAAACUAAUCUAGUUUAAUAUCAAGGGCAAAGAUUAUUGUUUAAGCUGUCUCAUAUAAAUGUUAUAUGCUUAAACGAUAAGUCCAAGGAAUAUGUAAUUAGGAGAAUGUGAUUUAAACAAGUUAGAUUACUGAGACCAUUCUCUUUCGUAUACAUAUCCUAAACGUUCCUGAUCAUAGGAUUGCCAAUUGGGCAUUGACAGUCCGUUAAGAUCAGUACAUGCUAUGUCUUCUCUUAGUGAGAGUGACUAGUCUGGACUCAUUGG